rnacentral:rRNA from 1 species
UACGGAGGGGGCUAGCGUUGUUCGGAAUUACUGGGCGUAAAGCGUACGUAGGCGGCUUUGUAAGUUAGAGGUGAAAGCCCGGGGCUCAACCCCGGAAUUGCCUUUAAGACUGCAUCGCUUGAAUCAUGGAGAGGUGAGUGGAAUUCCAAGUGUAGAGGUGAAAUUCGUAGAUAUUCGGAAGAACACCAGUGGCGAAGGCGACUCACUGGACAUGUAUUGACGCUGAGGUACGAAAGCGUGGGGAGCAAACAGG